rnacentral:rRNA from 1 species
UAGAGUUUGAUCAUGGCUCAGAUUGAACGCUGGCGGCAGGCUUAACACAUGCAAGUCGAGCGGUAACAGGAAUAGCUUGCUAUUUGCUGACGAGCGGCGGACGGGUGAGUAAUGCUUGGGAAUAUGCCUUAUGGUGGGGGACAACAGUUGGAAACGACUGCUAAUACCGCAUAAUGUCUACGGACCAAAGGGGGGGAUCUUCGGACCUCUCGCCAUUUGAUUAGCCCAAGUGAGAUUAGCUAGUUGGUAAGGUAAUGGCUUACCAAGGCGACGAUCUCUAGCUGGUUUGAGAGGAUGAUCAGCCACACUGGGACUGAGACACGGCCCAGACUCCUACGGGAGGCAGCAGUGGGGAAUAUUGCACAAUGGGGGAAACCCUGAUGCAGCCAUGCCGCGUGUGUGAAGAAGGCCUUCGGGUUGUAAAGCACUUUCAGUUGUGAGGAAAGGUGUGUAGUUAAUAGCUGCAUACUGUGACGUUAACAACAGAAGAAGCACCGGCUAACUUCGUGCCAGCAGCCGCGGUAAUACGAGGGGUGCAAGCGUUAAUCGGAAUUACUGGGCGUAAAGCGUUCGUAGGCGGUUGAAUAAGCAAGAUGUGAAAGCCCAGGGCUCAACCUUGGAACUGCAUUUUGAACUGUUCGACUAGAGUACUGUAGAGGGGGGUAGAAUUUCA